UGGACAGGCCGUGACCUUGUUUUGAUCAGCUGUACGGUAACUUAGCGAUAAGAAAAUAGACUAUUGGUUAAAUAAAUUUAAAUUUAAGUGUGUUUUAGAAGAAGAGGAACUUUCAGUAUAUUCCUUAAGAUGAGCUGAGCAGCAGUCCAGUUUACAAGAUGACAAGAGUUCGAGAGACAAGAUACAAGAUCACUGAAACAAGAGCCAAGACUGAAGAUUCAAGAGAAGAGAAAGCUGGCAGCCAUGGACUUACAAGUGGAGAUUAAUAAGGUCAUGUAAAGUUUUAUUUUUUUUUAUGGAAGACAGUAACUGGAGUUUUUUUUUUGUUAUAAACAUUAUUUACAGAACUUUUUAGGUUAUAGUAAUGUAAUGGAACUAGUGAGUUGUGGUAGCUGUCAAAAAGAACUAAUACCUUAAGUUUAAUUUUUAAAGUUAAUUUUCUUAAUUUACAGAGGGAUUAGUAGUUUUUUUUAAACCUUAUUUAGGUUGGAAUUUAAAUACAAUAGCUUAUUAUAAAUGUGUACGAACAGUUCAAGUUCACAGUACUGAUAGGUAGGUCAGAUGAUCUUAUUGAUUUUGAUGAUUUGUUGUUUUGAGUUGAUUUUUAAGUGUUGUGAAUUAGACAAUGAAAUAGUUCUGAAAACUUAAAUUAUUUCAAGCUAAGAAAUAGUAAAUUUAAUUGUAACUCGAAGGACACCAGAAUGUAAAUUUGUUUUGAAUUAGUAAUGUUUGAAAAUUUUAUACUUUACAAGAAAGGUUAUAAACAAACAGAUCGGAUGGAACAAGGAUGCAGUAAAUCACAAUUUCAUUUAGAAUUAUUGAUUAGCUUUUGAGGUUAUGAAGUAAAAGUAAUUAUAGUUUAAAAGUUUGAAUAAAAAAAAAUGUUUUUUUUUAUUUGUUUGAAAUAGAAAGUUUAAAAGUUAAUUAGUCAUGAUCUAGGUGGGUGAUGGGGUGGGAAUUGGCCACUCUUUUUCCCUAUAACCUCCCUAACAUGGCCUUCUAUUACAACUAACAGAAAUAAAGAAGAAGAAAAAUGAAGAAUUAUUAGUUAGAAUGUUUCUUUCAUGAAGAUACCUGAUGAACUUUUUUUUUAUUGUUGGGAAGAAUAGUAGCAAGAUUAAUCAGAUGUUUUACUCAGAAGAAGAAGAAGAAGAAGAAGAAGAAGACAAAGCAGUUUUAUGACUCGACAAGCCAGAGAUUGGUGUUUCCCCUCUGCGCUCCUAUUGACUACGUUGUUUACUCUCAUGGGAUAGCUGGUUCGGCACCAUGGAGAGAGAUUGGUGGGCAUUGUGGUUGCCCCCAGAAGAAAAGAAGAGUAGAAGAGGUUAUGGGUGGGUCAUGUGAAGUGACCUUCAACCCAGUUACUUCGUGGGGACUAUUUGCUGUAUAGAGAAGAUCAAGACUCAAGAGUUAGGGAAAAUCAUUGGAGGUCAUGUUUCCCUUCCUUAAGUUUUUCCUAUCAAAUUAUUUGCCUGAUUAGAUUAUGCUAAGGGUGGGAUACUUUAUGUUAGCAGUUGAAUUAAUUAAUUUUAUUUUUUUGUGUGUUUGCAUCCUUGCCCAUCGAUUGCAGUUUAGUAGUUAGUUUUGUAUUUGUCAGGCGUGAUGGUAAUGCCUGUUGAUGAUGUUUCAGAAUUGUAAUCUGUUCGUGAUGAGGAUGGCACAACUCCGAAGCAGAUGUGGGGAGAAGUUGUGAGCUGCCCUGGAAGCCAGUCCAGUAGCUGUUGGAGUUGAGUGGUGUUUGCUGAUGGCCAGCCCAGGGAGCUACUCUUCUCGACAACACUGACUUCGAGGAGUUGCACCAACCUUCACGAGAUAAGAGUUUAAUUAAUUGAAACACUGUAAGGACACUUAAUUUUUUUUGAAGAACGAAAGAAGUAUGGUAAUAAACGGAAACUGAAAAAAAAAAUAAUAAUAAUUAUCAAGAAUUUGCACAUUGUUUAACGAAUACUGAGAAACUAAGAACAGUAAUUUAAUUUGUAAAGAGAGCUUCACUAACAGAACAAUUUUUUUAGAAUUGAGAACUCGAGCCUCUGAAGGUUCCUGUGAGAACAAACCAGAUAAAAGUUUUACAUUUAAUUUUAUGAAUACUUGUUGUUUUAAAAUAAAUCUUAUGCAGAAUCUAGAUGUAUGUUCAGACAGCAAGGAACUAAGAAAAUUAUUAUUUUUGUGAAAUGAGGAAUUUAUAGUUAUGGUUUAAUGGAAAAAGACAAUUUGUAAUUUUGAGGUAGCUCGAUGGGGCUCGAGCUCUGUGAGGGGAGGGUUAUGUCGCGGGUUGAAAUUUUGCAGGGUUGUUGAAAUCAAAUUUAGGGACUUUACUGACGGGACUCUGGGCUGGCUGCUCUGUUCACUCGUCAGCGCAAGUGGCGUGACCAUGUAAUUGGGGCACGGGGCCGGCGCGGCGCGCUGCGGGCUUGCAGAAUUUUGUUUGUUUGUUUGGCCGCACGCUGGCGCAGCUACGGGCCGCAGUUACUGGGGCGCGCUGUCGUAACAAGCCACGCGGUGUGGCCUGCACAUCGGGGUAGAGGGGGGGUAGUCUUCCCAGAUGUUCUAGUUAGUUGUUUAGUAAAUUUGACUUCAAUAACGAGCUUUUGUUAUGCUAGGCGCGGCAGGGCGCGCGAAUUUAAGCGCAAGUGAUUGGUGACUUCAGGCUCACUCAGGCGGAGGCUCACUCAAGCUCACUCAGGCGGAGGCUAUGCGUCUCACCUGUGGUCACGAGUUGUUAGUUCGUUCGUGAUGUAGGAAUUCAAGCUUUCGGGCGGAAGCUAUGGUCGACGCCAGAGGCCACGAGUCGUUUAAUUUAAGUUAGGUCAUAAUGUAGUCGUCAAGCUUUCGGGCGGAGGCUAUGGCCCUCGUCAGGGGUCACGCGUCAUAGUUUUUAAAAUGUAAUGUUCGUUCGGGAUUUCAAGGGCAGGAGAGGCCCCUACGUUAUUUUUUUAAAGUAAUCGAUCAAGAAAGGCUUUUCGGAAAAUGUGAGUAUGGACUUAUCUUUGUUUUAAUUUUAAGUAUUAAUUAUGAUUUGAGGUAUUCGGAAGGACUAGGGAAGUGUUUAGUGAAGUUCUCUCAUUCUCUCUCUUGUAAGGUCGUUCAAUCGUUAAGGAAGUAAAGAGAUUAUUGUUUUAAAUUGUAAUCCCGCUAUUUAAAUGUUCUUUAAAAUGAUGUUGAGUAUUUGACUUUAAGAAUAAAAUAAUUUUAAUUAAGUAUUAUGUUAUUUUGCAAAAUCUCCUUAGUUCAGCUCUCACCAGACAUCCUGUACGGGAUGACGAACCUAUGAUCCUAGGUACAGUAAAGUAUUUUAUGAAGUUAAGACUAGUUGAUGCCAAGCGAGUUGUUUCUAUGUAAAGAGCUACGAUUCUCGCCCCCCCCUCUGAAGGUGGAUCGUGACAAUAUAGUGGAAUCAUGUUCAUCUAAAAAAAAAUGUUGUUGCAAAACUUCUACAAAAGAUAACAUGCAUGCAAAACAUUGUAUAGUUGUUAGACAUCACUGUUGUUUUGCUGGGCUGCUAUGUGAAUCGUUUAAGGAUCUGAAUGCUGAUUUUUUCUUUUGACGACACAAUGUUGACAAUUCUGCUCAUGUAGCCUGUAGAGUUACAUUGAAAUGUUAAUUCAUUCUAAGCCGAUAUGUAAUAGCAUUUAUAUUCUACGUAAACAAGCUUAUUCUAAAAAAAAAAGCCAGAAUAAUUACACACUCAAUGCAUAUCCACGCACGUGGAGUUGUCUGAAUUCCGAAAUCACUGUAGGCUACGUAUCACUUGGAUGCUAACUUGGUGUUGUUAUACUGAGAUGUGAUGUUACACUUAAUCUUCAAUUAUUUUAUUAACUUUGGUUUCGUAAAUUUUAGUUUAUUGUAAUUGUAUUAUAUAAAUGCAUACACUUAAUCAACUGUUUUUUAUUUUAUUUUAAAAAUUGUAAACAUUUAUCAUAGCAAUUCCAAAGUGCAUUAUUUGUAAUUUUUCAGUAUUACUGCUCUGUGAAAACCUCCACAUGAUUUUAUCACUGUGUUCAACUUUCAUACCAAAUGCACAUAAAAUAGUGUGUUUCUUGCUGUACAAGCACUUGGCCAAUUUUGAAAAUA